UACAGGGGGUGCAAACGUUGCUCGGAAUCAUUGGGCGUAAAGCGCACGUAGGCGGUUCGUUAUGUCGGAUGUGAAAGCCCUUGGCUUAACCGAGGAAGUGCAUCCGAAACUGGCGAGCUAGAGUACGAAAGAGGAUCGCGGAAUUCCCGGUGUAGAGGUGAAAUUCGUAGAUAUCGGGAGGAACACCGGUGGCGAAGGCGGCGAUCUGGGUCGGUACUGACGCUGAGACGCGAAAGCGUGGGGAGCAAACAGG
rnacentral:rRNA from 1 species